rnacentral:lncRNA from 1 species
GUGUUUCUCCACAUUCAGUAUCUUUAUUAAAAUCAUAUCUUUCUGAUAGAAAACAGCAAAUUAAAGUAAACGGUGUUCUGAGUAGCUGGGCUGACAUCCAAAAAGGGGUACCCCAAGGUUCUAUAUUGGGGCCCCUUUUAUUUAAUAUCUUCAUAAAUGAUAUUUUUUAUUUUGUUAAACAUGGUACAUUAUAUAAUUAUGCG